AGCCCACUCACGUCUUGCUCACCAAACAGAAAGGCAACCACACGUUUGGGCUUUUUUUUUCUUUUUUUGAGACUGAGUCUCGCUCUGUUGCCCAGGCUGGAGUGCAGUGGCAAGAACAUGGUUCACUGCAACCUCCGCCUCCUGGGUUCAAGUGAUUCUCCGGCCUCAGCCUCCUGAGUAGCUGGGAUUACAGGCAGGUGCCACCACAACCGCCUAAUUUUCUAUUUUUAGUAGAGACUGGGUUUCACCAUGUUGGCCAGGCUGGUCUUGAGCUCCUGACCUCAAGUGAUCUGCCCGCCUUGGCCUCCCAAAGUGCUGGGAUUACAAGCGUGAGCCACCGUACCCGGCCUCUUGGGCUUUUCUGAUGAGAAAAGGUGGUGACGAUACUGGGCCAAUGCUUUGAAAGAAAUAUCAGAGGCGGCCACUCAGAUACUCCCUUUCAAUCCCACAUACAAAAAUACAUCUGUGGCAGAGGCUGCUGUCCCAGCAUCCCUGUAUCACUACCUCCUGGAAGUUAUGAAACGCUACCCAGUGGCAUCUGGCCUUGGAAUGUGAGCUGAAGGGACCGUGUGACUUCCAGGUGAAAGGAAGCUUUCACCUCUUCUCACCUCAGUGACGGGAAGAAAAAAUGGAACCAGAAUGCCUGACCCACCUGUGCAAAACAACUGCUUCUCUCCAGAAUGUUAGGGGAGAGUGAAAAAAGGCAUCAUCUUGAGGCCCUGUAUUUUGGGGUCUCUGAACUAGUAGAGUCUGUAUCCUUCUCCAUGGAUCUAAGAAGCACAUGUAAGCCGGGCGCAGUGGCUCACGCCUGUAAUCCCAGCACUUUAGGAGGCUGAGAUUACAGGUGUGAGCCACUGGCCGCAUUUGUCCUCAGUCUGAUUCCUUCCUGACACCUGGGGACCGAGUCAGAAGCAUCUGGCCUGUCACUCACUGAUGGCCUAGUCUCAAAC
rnacentral:lncRNA from 10 species